rnacentral:lncRNA from 1 species
UACUAUCUAAAAAGGAGUUUCACGGACAUAAAAAGCCCAGAAAAACUGAGCGGUAACAAUAGGCAAUUUUUUCAAAAGGCAAAUUUUUAAUUAACAUUGUGUACAAGUGUAAUAAACAAAGGCUAGUGGGUGCAUUAAUAUCAAAUAAAACCACUGGAAAUAUUAUUAGUAAGAAUUUUUUUUUUUUUUUUUUUUUUUUUUUUUUUAGAUUUUAAUGAGGGUGUACAAACAAAGUUUGAGCAAAAAAAGCUUGUAAGAAAACUUUGAAGAACGCUUGAAUAAUUAAAUUACUAGAGGGGAUGUCAACUAUAGAGGUAAAAACAAAUCAUUUUGGAAAAUAUAUGUGGUAAAAAGUUAUGUUAUGUUUCUAAACAAGAAAAGAGGGACGUAUCUGUAAUAAAAGGAAAUGUGGACAUACAUGUAACUUUAAAAACUAUUAUGAAAAAUCGAUAAAUAUAUGAGACUUUAAGGAAAAGCUAACAAUAAAUAAAAGUGC